rnacentral:rRNA from 1 species
AUUGAACGCUGGCGGCAUGCCUUACACAUGCAAGUCGAACGGCAGCACGGGAGCAAUCCUGGUGGCGAGUGGCGAACGGGUGAGUAAUGCGUCGGAACGUGUCCUGUAGUGGGGGAUAGCCCGGCGAAAGCCGGAUUAAUACCGCAUACGACCUGAGGGUGAAAGCGGGGGAUCUUCGGACCUCGCGCUAUAGGAGCGGCCGAUGUCAGAUUAGGUAGUUGGUGGGGUAAAGGCCUACCAAGCCGACGAUCUGUAGCUGGUCUGAGAGGACGACCAGCCACACUGGGACUGAGACACGGCCCAGACUCCUACGGGAGGCAGCAGUGGGGAAUUUUGGACAAUGGGCGCAAGCCUGAUCCAGCCAUGCCGCGUGCAGGAAAGAAGGGCCCUUUCGGGUUGUAAAACUGCUUUUGUCAAGGGAAGAAAUUCCUUCUGG